rnacentral:rRNA from 1 species
AUUGAACGCUGGCGGCAUGCCUUACACAUGCGAGUCGAACGGCAGCAUGGAAGAGCUUGCUCUUCUGAUGGCGAGUGGCGAACGGGUGAGUAAAGCAUCGGAACGUACCGUGUAGUGGGGGAUAACGUAGCGAAAGUUACGCUAAUACCGCAUACGCACUGAGGUGGAAAGCAGGGGAUCGCAAGACCUUGCGCUAUACGAGCGGCCGAUGUCAGAUUAGCUAGUUGGUAGGGUAAAGGCCUACCAAGGCGACGAUCUGUAGCGGGUCUGAGAGGAUGAUCCGCCACACUGGGACUGAGACACGGCCCAGACUCCUACGGGAGGCAGCAGUGGGGAAUUUUGGACAAUGGGCGAAAGCCUGAUCCAGCCAUGCCGCGUGAGUGAAGAAGGCCUUCGGGUUGUAAAGCUCUUUCGGCUGGGAAGAAAUCGCACAGGCUAACACUCUGUGUGGAUGACGGUACCAGCACAAGAAGCACCGGCUAACUACGUGCCAGCCGCCGCCGUAA